rnacentral:sRNA from 1 species
GCUGAAUGCCAGGCCCACCCUUGCCCAUGCUGGGGAGGCAGCGUGGCCAUCCCCAUGACACAGCACAGGUGCCCAGGUCUCGGAGAGCCCCUCCCAGGGACACGCCCACCAGGCUUGCCCUUUGGAGCCUCUCCUGACCUUGGCCAGCGUGGGAGCUGCUGUCCCUGGGAGGAUCCGCCGCCCGCCCCAGGCGCUCACCAGCCUGGCUUCCACAGCUGCUACCCACAGGGGCUGCCGGGGCCUGCAUGGCGUGGCGAGGGUCAGGGAUGGUGAGCGCCCCACCCAUUCCUUCAUCCGUCACCUAAUAAAUGUGCUCUGAGGGUCCCAGUCCCCACUCUUUAGGCCACAGACUGUGGGGAUGUGGGAGGUCAGAUUUAAGCUAUUUUAGUGCAACCGAAGGUGCAGGUUGGGGGAUGUGGCUGGGGCGCCUGGGCCCUGGGACCCACACCCUGUGCAGCCGAGGCUGUUGCCUGCAGGAUUCAGUGCCCGGCCAUCCUGGCUGCCCUGGCCACCCUCCUGGGAGCUGUCCUCAGCUUCACCUGCAUCCCCGCCAGCACCAAAGGGGCCAAAACUGACGCCCAGGCUCCACUGCCAGGCGGCCCCCGGGCCAGUGUGUUCGACCUGAAGGCUAUCGCCUCCCUGCUGCGGCUGCCAGACGUCCCGAGGAUCUUCCUGGUGAAGGUGGCCUCCAACUUCCCCACAGGGCUCUUCAUGGUCAUGUUCUCCAUCAUCUCCAUGGACUUCUUCCAGCUGGAGGCCGCCCAAGCUGGCUACCUCAUGUCCUUCUUCGGGCUCCUCCAGAUGGUGAGUGGGCACACAGGGCCUGCUGGGGGGCACGGCAGGGGUCUCCAGUGGGGCAGGCCUCUGAGAGUAGAGGCUCCUCCCUGGCGGAGGCUGGGGAGCCCUUGGCCUCCCAUCUGGCACAUGUCAGGGUCCACAGGGAACCAGGCAUACAGGCCAGGGAGGGAGAGCCAACUGCAGUGGUGGGCACGCUGUGAGGACAGUGGACUCCGGCCUCUGAUGGGCAGCUGGCUGGGAUCUGUGGCAGCCCACCUGCCCACCAGCUGUGUGACCAGAGCAAGUCUCCCAAACUCUCCAAAUCUGUCCCAUGAGGCCAAAGUGCCCGCCUUGCAGGGUCCUUGGCAGAUGAGAUGACCUAACGUGGCAAAGUGGCUAGACCAGUGUGGGCCCCUUUGGAGGUCCCAUAGGAGCAAGAUGCCAGCCCUCAGAGGCCACGCUGUCAUGGUAGGAUAAGACGCCAGCCCUCAGAGGCCACGCUGUCAUGGAAGGAUGCCCUGAAACCCUGGCAGCUCCGAUGUGGCAGGUGUCUGUCUGCCAGCCCCCCAGAACCACUCAGCUCCCGGGCCGGGGCGAGACACCUCCACCACCAGCUCCUCUGGGCUUCUGGACCAGACCCUGGGUGGUGGGGACAGGUGAUGAUGUGCCGCCACCCAGGAUGGCCGCCUGACAGCCAGAGUGCAGGGGGGUGCUAUUCUGGGACCCACCGGGGUGGGGGUGGGGGCUCUCGGCCUCUCCGGAAGCCUGUGGCAUUCCUGGCACCUCCAAGCCAUCUGCUCUUCAGCCUCUGGGCCCAGGACUAGACUAGUGCUAAAAUAGCUGCUCCUGGGAGGGGCUGGACCCCCACCGUGGGCAGAGAGGGCCUCUGCUUUUUGGGGCAGGAGGGGCCACCCUGGCAGGGUAAAAAGAGAUAAACAGAAAAACAACAGCAACAAUAAUAGUAACAAUCCGGGGUUGUUGCCAUGGGGCCUGUUCUGAACAGGCUGCGCCCAGCUCACUGCAAGGAAGGACGCUUAGCCAGGCCCUGGCUGAAGCCUGCAGCUGGGCUGGACACAGCAGUCAUUGGCCUGUGUUGUGGGGGACUUGGGCCUGCCAUGGCUGCAGUGGGGACCCUGCCUGAGACAGACAGAGCUGGGGUGGUGACCAACACCGUCGGGGCACCCUCGCAGGAACUGGGCCUGGUGAACUGCCCAGGGACGGGGAAGGAGCAGGGUGAGGCCUGGGGACCCCGACACAGGCUGAGCAGCGGGAGAGGAGGCUGAGGAGGGGAAGGAGGGGGCCCGCAGAGUAGCCCCCAGGCCCCAAGUCCGGUCAGGGACAAGCUUGUUAGCUCCAGGUUCAUGUCACAACCUGCAGGGCUCCUAAGUUCAAGCUUUUUUAAACUUAAUGGGCAAACUGAGACGCAACACAAAUAGGCUUCUGACCUUGGUGUCUGAGUCCUGGAUCUGAAGUCCUUCACGGCACUCACUGUGAGCCCCUCUUAGACGCACUGCACGAAGUGAGCUUGCCAGCUCUUCCUUUAAAAAACGUGUUAGGCCGGGCGCGGUGGCUCACGCCUGUAAUCCCAGCACUUUGGGAGGCCGAGGCGGGCGGAUCCCGAGGUCAGGAGAUUGAGACCAUCCUGGCAAACAUGGUGAAACCCCGUCUCUACCAAAAAAACAAGCAAACAAAAAAAAAUUAGCAGGGCCUGGUGGCAGGCACCUGUAGUCCCAGCUACUCGGGAGGCUGACGCAGGAGAAUGGCGUGAACCCGGGAGGCGGAGCUUGCCGUGAGCGGAGAUCGCGCCACUGCACUCCACGCUGGGCGACAGAGCGAGACGCCAUCUCAAAAAAAA